UUUGAGCGAAAAAGUAAAUGUUUGUUUGACUGUAAGGCAUAAAAUUGUUUGAACAGCUAUGUUAAAUAGGUUUUAUUGAUCCGAUAGUGUUGAACGAAAAAGCUAUCGCUUAAUAGAUAAAAGAUACUGUAGGGAUAACAAGAUAAUAAAAACCAAGCGAUCAAAGCGACGUUUUUGAUUGUUAUAUCGAUGUCGGUUUAAAGCAUCCCGAUGGUGAAGAAGCUAUCAAGGGUUUAGCUGUUCGCUAACUAAGGCUUUCCAUGAACUGGGUUUAAAACGAUGCGAAUCAGUUUAGUUUCUAUCUGCUUGAUUAUUUAAGGUUUAAAGUUUUUUUCGCUAGUAUGAGAAGAUCGAUGAAAAGAAAGCCAAUAGUUAAAAACCUUUUUUUGGUUGUAUUGCCAUGCUUUUAUUGUUUAAAAAUUGAAAGCAUCA
rnacentral:rRNA from 13 species